UACGUAGGGGGCAAGCGUUGUCCGGAAUCAUUGGGCGUAAAGCGCGUGUAGGCGGCUUGGUAAGUCUGCUCUGAAAGCCCGGGGCUCAACCCCGGGAGGCGGGUGGAUACUGUCAAGCUCGAGUCCGGAAGAGGAGUGUGGAAUUCCUGGUGUAGCGGUGAAAUGCGCAGAUAUCAGGAGGAACACCAAUGGCGAAGGCAGCUCGCUGGGACGUGACUGACGCUGAGACGCGAAAGCGUGGGGAGCGAACAGG
rnacentral:rRNA from 1 species